UGAGAAUUUUCUAGAGCUACUGAAAAGAUGGGAGAAGCUAAUUAAGUCGUACGGCUGUAGUGAUAUCAAAACAAGCUCUAAUAUUGAGCUAGACGACAGAGAUGAAGGCGAAAACAAUGAUGAUUCUCAGUCUGGUUCCAAUGCAUCUUCUGGAGAAUAUGAGGUAUUAAGAUUCGUUGACAUAUGUUACGGGGAUCCCAACAAUGACGGAAAAUCUGGACUUCAUUUUAAGGUGCGAUGGAAAGGUUAUGGUCCGAGUGAAGAUACUUGGGAGCCAAUUGAGAACUUGAAAAAUUGCGGAGACAGUAUAAAAG
rnacentral:misc_RNA from 1 species